GAUGAACGCUGGCGGCGUGCCUAAUACAUGCAAGUCGAGCGAACGGACGAGAAGCUUGCUUUUCUGAUGUUAGCGGCGGACGGGUGAGUAACACGUGGAUAACCUACCUAUAAGACUGGGAUAACUUCGGGAAACCGGAGCUAAUACCGGAUAAUAUUUUGAACCGCAUGGUUCAAAAGUGAAAGACGGUCCUGCUGUCACUUAUAGAUGGAUCCGCGCUGCAUUAGCUAGUUGGUAAGGUAACGGCUUACCAAGGCAACGAUGCAUAGCCGACCUGAGAGGGUGAUCGGCCACACUGGAACUGAGACACGGUCCGGACUCCUACGGGAGGCAGCAGUAGGGAAUCUUCCGCAAUGGGCGAAAGCCUGACGGAGCAACGCCGCGUGAGUGAUGAAGGUCUUCGGAUCGUAAAACUCUGUUAUUAGGGAAGAACAUAUGUGUAAGUAACUGUGCACAUCUUGACGGUACCUAAUCAGAAAGCCACGGCUAACUACGUG
rnacentral:rRNA from 1 species